rnacentral:misc_RNA from 1 species
GAUGAAGAACGUAGCGAAAUGCGAUAAGUAGUGUGAAUUGCAGAAUUCAGUGAAUCAUCGAAUCUUUGAACGCACAUUGCGCCCCUUGGUAUUCCAUGGGGCAUGCCUGUUCGAGCGUCAUUUGUACCUUCAAGCUCUGCUUGGUGUUGGGUGUUUGUCACGCCUCUGCGUGUAGACUCGCCUCAAAACAAUUGGCAGCGGGCGUAUUGAUUUCGGAGCGCAGUACAUCUCGCGCUUUGCACUCAUAACGACGACGUCCAAAAGUACAUUUUUACACUCUUGACCUCGGAUCAGGUAGGGAUACCCGCUGAACUUAAGCAUAUCAAUAAGCGGAGGA